GCCUUUUUAGCUCAGUGGCAGAGCGUCAGUCUUGUAAACUGAAGGUCGCCGGUUCAAUCCCGGUAGGAGGCA
rnacentral:tRNA from 1 species